UGGGGAAUAUUGCACAAUGGGCGAAAGCCUGAUGCAGCAACGCCGCGUGAGUGAUGAAGGCCUUCGGGUUGUAAAGCUCUGUCUUUUGGGACGAUAAUGACGGUACCAAAGGAGGAAGCCACGGCUAACUACGUGCCAGCAGCCGCGGUAAUACGUAGGUGGCAAGCGUUGUCCGGAUUUACUGGGCGUAAAGGAUGCGUAGGCGGAUUUUUAAGUGAGAUGUGAAAACCCUAAGCUUAACUUGGGAACUGCAUUUCAUACUGGAAAUCUAGAGUGCGGGAGAGGAGAAUGGAAUUCCUAGUGUAGCGGUGAAAUGCGUAGAGAUUAGGAAGAACACCAGUGGCGAAGGCGAUUCUCUGGACCGUAACUGACGCUGAGGCAUGAAAGCGUGGGUAGCAAACAGGAUUAGAUACCCUGGUAGUCCACGCCGUAAACGAUGAGUACUAGGUGUAGGAGGUAUCGACCCCUUCUGUGCCGCAGUUAACACAAUAAGUACUCCGCCUGGGAAGUACGAUCGCAAGAUUAAAACUCAAAGGAAUUGACGGGGUCAUAGCUG
rnacentral:rRNA from 1 species